AGUGAACGCUGGCGGUAGGCCUAACACAUGCAAGUCGAACGGCAGCACAGUAAGAGCUUGCUCUUACGGGUGGCGAGUGGCGGACGGGUGAGGAAUACAUCGGAAUCUACUUUUUCGUGGGGGAUAACGUAGGGAAACUUACGCUAAUACCGCAUACGACCUACGGGUGAAAGCAGGGGAUCUUCGACCUUGCGCGAUUGAAUGAGCCGAUGUCGGAUUAGCUAGUUGGCGGGGUAAAGGCCCACCAAGGCGACGAUCCGUAGCUGGUCUGAGAGGAUGAUCAGCCACACUGGAACUGAGACACGGUCCAGACUCCUACGGGAGGCAGCAGUGGGGAAUAUUGGACAAUGGGCGCAAGCCUGAUCCAGCCAUACCGCGUGGGUGAAGAAGGCCUUCGGGUUGUAAAGCCCUUUUGUUGGGAAAGAAAAGCAGCAGGUUAAUACCCCGCUGUUCUGACGGUACCCAAAGAAUAAGCACCGGCUAACUUCGU
rnacentral:rRNA from 1 species